rnacentral:rRNA from 1 species
CAGCCGCCGCGGUAAUACGAAGGGUGCAAGCGUUACCCGGAUUUACUAGGCGUAAAGGGCGUGUAGGCGGCCUGGGGCGUCCCAUGUGAAAGGCCACGGCUCAACCGUGGAGGAGCGUGGGAUACGCUCAGGCUAGAGGGUGGGAGAGGGUGGUGGAAUUCCCGGAGUAGCGGUGAAAUGCGCAGAUACCGGGAGGAACGCCGAUGGCGAAGGCAGCCACCUGGUCCACUUCUGACGCUGAGGCGCGAAAGCGUGGGGAGCAAACCGGAUUAGAUACCCCAGUAGUCCCUGUCUCUUAUAC